GGUUUCAUAGUGUAGUGGAGACAGUCAUCACGUCUGCUUUGCACGAAGAAGGUCCUGGGUUUCGACCCCCAGUGGAACCA